UAACAUAGCCGCUUAUGAGAUUUUUGAAGAUAGUAGCGAUGAUGAUGACGACGAUGAUGAUAUUUACCUAGACAUUACCGAUGCUCCGGAUAAAACAGCACCAGAAGAAAUAGCCACAGAUGCUACAGACUAUGCAGAAAAUAAAAAAGAUCCGGGAGAAAGUCUUGAAGAUAAUGAGGAUGAGGAUGAAGAUGAAGAAAGGCAAAAUGUUGAAAGUAAGGAUUGAUUUAUUUUUUUAUUUUAAGGAAAUUUAUAUUAGAACCAAAGAAUAGAAAUGCACAUAAAACUGUAUAAAUUGCAGAUUUAUUCACAGCUACUUGUGUCAAUAUACACUCCUCUAAACUUACAUGUUGAACUGAUUUACCACAUUACUUAGCGAGUGACUGCAGUUAUACUGGGAAACAAUACUGCAUUCUGGGUUAAAACAUGACAAAUUGCAUCUAUGUUUGUGCUUUACACUUGCAUUAGUAGAUGAGCCCCCUUGUUACAUAUUGUAAUACUGUUUGCCCAAUUCUUCAAACCUGUAAAAAAUUAUGCAAUUAUCAUUUUAUUAU